rnacentral:rRNA from 1 species
AUGUUGUGUUUCUACUUGACCAAGACCUUCUGUGAGGAGCUAAGUUCUUUGAUCAGAAAUUAUUGGUGGAGUCAGCAAGACAAGGAGCACACAACCCAUUGGAUAGGAUGGAACAAGCUUACGUUGCCAAAGGCACAGGGAGCACUCGAGUUCCGGGACAUGCACGCGUUCAAUGUUGCCAUGCUGUCCCGACAGGCCUGGAGAUUAAUACAACAACCAGAUUCGCUGUGUGCACAGAUCUUGAAGGCCCGGUACUUCCCGGAUGGCCGGCUCCUUGAGGCCCAACCCUCUGCAGGUAUUUCUUAUGCUUGGCGCAGUUUGCUUCGUGGCGUCCAACUAGUCCGAGAGGGUUACAUAUGGAGGAUUGGGGAUGGCACAAAUGUCAACAUAUGGACCGACCCUUGGAUCCCCCGGCCCUGGUCUAGAACUGUCAUCACGCCCCGUGGGCAGUUCCUCUAA